UUAUUAGUUUAGAAAUAUUUCAUAAAGAAUCAUAAUAAGACAAAUAAUCAUCGUUAAGAUCAUAUAAUAAUUGAAUGCUGUGACUUGGUAAAUGUGUAGAGCAAGAUUUGUCAACCUUGCCAGCCAAGUCAUGUACUGCAGAGGGUUACACAGCAGUGUUUAGUGUCAAACUGUUACUGCUUUAGGUCGAGGGAAAUGGAAGAUCGUUCGAGGCGAAAUAACUUAAGAAAAGACGGUGUAAAAAAGAAUGAAAACGAACGCUGGGAAGAGACCGAAUCAAAGGUAAAAAAUUAUUUGAAGAUUAUAUAGAUGUAAAGAAUGUUAAAAUAGAACGAGCUCACAGAACUGGCAAGAAAGGUGAAAAAAAGCCAAGAACGAUCGUGCUAAAACUCUUGGAUUUCAAAGAUAAAACAGAAAUUCUUAAAAAAUCUUUUCAUCUGAAAGGAAAAAAUAUUUUCAUCAAUGAAGACUUUUGUCCGGAGACCACACAAAUAAGAAGAGCUUUAAAAGAAAAGAUGAAAGUAGAACGAGCAUCUGGGAAAUAGGCUGCCAUAUCGUACGAUAGGUUGAUCAUACGUGAUUGGGCCUGCAAUCGAAAAAAGAAUUAACCCAAACCAGUAAAAAUCGGAAACAUGUAUACUUAGUUGGAGAUUUUAACAUAAACAUUUUAAAUUAUGCAUCAAAAAAUGAUGCUAAAUGCUUUAUUGGCACAAUUUUGCAAAUAAUUUUAUUCCAACAAUAAAUAAGGCAACAAGAAUAACAAAGACAUCGUCAACAUUAGUCGACAACUUAAUAACAAACAAUUUUCACAAAUGCUGCGUAAGAACAGAAAUAAUUAAAACCGACAUAAGCGAUCAUUUUCCUAUCUUUCUAACCACUAAAAACAUAACAUUAAAAAACAAUUCCAUAAAAUCAAAAAUAUUGGUCCGUCAAAUCAAUGAAAACUCCAAGCACAUUUUUGCCAUCUAUUAAAAAUUCUGUUGAU